AUCCAGUUGACGAGUCUCAAAUAGGACGAAACGCGCGUUCUGAAU
rnacentral:hammerhead_ribozyme from 1 species